AUUAAAAAUGGGUAGCGGGUAUCUCACAGUCGAGCACACUCGACUGUAACUUUCUUACUUGUUUUCUACCAUUUCAGUAUUGCAGUGCAAAUGUUUCUAUUUUAUAUUCCAUAUCCUAUGGUCUUCAUUCGACUGGCUUUUAUGCCAGUGAUCUGACUGGCUGACUGCUCAAGGACUACGACCAGCAAAUGAUGAACCAAGUAAAUUAUCUCAGUAUACUGAACAGUCUGUCAUGAUAAGCACGCGAAGCACUCAUUACAGGGCAUCUUGAAGUAGCGCAUAGUUGACUCAAGUCUCAGCUGCUUUUUGUCACGACAUAAGGGUAAGGGAAGAACCUACCUACCCCUAUCCCCUAUCUAACAAGGAAGGUUUCCACUUGCUUGUGCAUGCGAGCGGGAAUAAUAAAGUUAGCCUUGGCAUCAAAGCAAGACACUUAACAAGGCGAAGCCGGCAACAGUUGCGUCUUGACAUUGACAUUUCCAUUUGGCCAGGGCACCACGUUAAAGCCAAGCUGAAUGCUGAACGCUGAAAUGCGGCCCAAAUCAGCUGCCCAAUGGUUUGAAAAUUGCGCUGAGCUCACACGCAUCAUAAAAAGGCAAAUGGUCCGCAUUGAUUUGCAUGCUCCAGCCACCCUCAGCCUCACCCAC